rnacentral:pre_miRNA from 9 species
UGCUUAUAGCGUAAAAAUUAACUAAAAUUUGCAUAGAGUUGAAACGUUUGCCUACGUUUGCCGCUAGGGGCGCUGUUCCAACUGCAUACAAAUUUGAGUUAACUUUGACGCUAUCGA